GUGCAGGGGGCUCUGCCUGCGCAGCAGCGUUUUCGCACAGAGCGUCUUGGAAGAGAGGAGAGCUGACCCUGGGCUUUCCUCCCGAGUGCGGCCUGAGAGGGAGGGCGGGGCUCGCGCUAAGAAUCAGAGGGUUUUCAUCGCGGCUCAGGCUGCUGAGUUUUACCCUUCUCAAAGGCAUUAAACAAAUGAACUCAUCUAAUCCUAACCACCACCCCAAAUUAGGAAAAAUCAAAUCAAGUUAGCACGCCAGUAAGAUCAUAAAACAAAACUUUACCCACCCAGGGACGAGUCCUCUCCAGAAUUCAGAACCCCUAUCUGAGAAUACAUCUGUUCCUCUGGCAGCAUUCUCUCUUACAAGGUUUCCUUUUAGCUUUUUCUUUUCUUCCCCAUCAUUCUGAAUAUCAAUGGUUUGCAGAUAAUAGCAACUUUGUUAAAAAUAAGAACCCCACACCACAAUGGAUUCAUUCAUCCAUCACUCAUCCAUUCAAAACAUUCCUUGAGCAACUACUAAGUACUGGGUACUGUGCUAGGUGCUGGGGAUUCAGCAAUAAACAAGAGAGAUUGGAUGCAGGUCCUCUUAUAAGUAAGCUGAGUAUUUUUAUUGCCUCUUUUUAUUAAUAGUUCUGAAGAUCUAAUCAAGCUUAAAACAUUCUGCCUGAAAGGUUAUGAGAAUCUUUUUUGCCUAAUUAUUUAUCUAAGACCUACAUUCCAGUCUCCUAUUAGGGAAGUUGAUUUGUAUUUUACUAGACAAAUACAAAUAAUGUUUUGAAAAAAAAAAUAGUAGAAGGAUAGCUAAAGCUAAAAGUUUCCUGAGGAGUCUCUGCUUUAAAUUCUGGUGAGUACAUAGAUCUCAAUAAGAGGAUAUUACCACUGUGGGCUCAGGACAAGGUUCUGGAAGGAAAUCUGGACUUGUUUCCCAUAAGGACACUACAACCACUUUAAAGAUAAAGACAAGGAUGUGGAGCCACUAAAAUGCUGGCUACAUCCCAGUAGACAGCUGGGCUGCUGAGGCGAUGGUAGAAACAGAUAUGGCAGAAUCUGCUGAGAAAUGCAGCCUCACCCCACUUCUCACCCCAGCACCUGCAGGAUGGACAAGGUGAGGCCAGGUAGGUGGCUUGAGUUAAAUUCCAAGUGGUGCUCCUGGAGUCUCUGGCACCAUCAGAUGGGGACCAUGGCGGCCUGCGUAUGGAGAAGAGUGUAAAGGGUGGGGGUCUAGUCUAGCUGUACGUUGACAGGUGCUACUCAUGGAAGACUCUGGCUGAGGAAGAACAGGAGGCAGAAAGGCAAUGGCACCAGGAAGCAUCAGGAUGGGCUGGAAAGCUGGAAUCUGAGAGAGGGGCUGUGAUAGAACAGGUCCCGCUGCAGUAGAGCAGUAGCGGGUCCGGAGGAGGUUCAUUUUGUUUUUGAUGUGAAGUAGGUGCUGAAUCAUCAGAAUAGGAGCUGAGAAGAGUAGUGAGAGUUUUCCAAGGAGGAAGAAGCAUGGAGGAAUGAAACCAAUCUUGUUACACUUUUUAGGCAUUUUUACAAAUUAGUUCAUUUAAUCCUAACCACCACUCUAGGUGAGGAACCUGAGGAUCAGAGAGAUCACACACCUGGCACACAGGCAGCGUGGGGAUCUGAACCCAGUUCCCUCUGACUUCAGAGGGGGUGCUCUUUCCAGCUCUGAUGUGACAGGCAGGAUGCUCCUCCCUCCCCUGGCAUCCAUGACCCCUACCUCACUCCUCAGGGUUCUCCCGUCUUUCCUCUGCCUCUUGUAAUUUACUUUCCUUCUUCUUUGAGUAAUCAUAAUUUACAACAAAUUAUUAAACAAAAUUAAUUUAAAAAGUAGACUAGUUGAAAAUUCUAUAUUCUUCUAAAAAACAAGGCUCCAAUUCUUCUAAAAUUAGGGAAAAAUUGUCUUGUACUUACUGACAUAAAGCCUACUACUCAUUUUUUCUCUCUUUAUGGAUCAGUAUAAUUAAGGGAAACAGUAGGUCAAUGAACACAUGAUCAAAAUAUGGGAGUUGAGAGAUGUAGAAAC
rnacentral:lncRNA from 1 species